UACGGAAGGGGCAAGCGUUGUUCGGAAUCAUUGGGCGUAAAGCGCGUGUAGGCGGCUUCGUAAGUUGGGUGUGAAAGCCCUCGGCUUAACCGAGGAAGUGCGCCCAAAACUGCGAGGCUUGAGUACCGGAGAGGAUGGCGGAAUUCCCGGUGUAGAGGUGAAAUUCGUAGAUAUCGGGAGGAACACCAGCGGCGAAGGCGGCCAUCUGGACGGAUACUGACGCUGAGACGCGAAAGCGUGGGGAGCAAACAGG
rnacentral:rRNA from 1 species